rnacentral:rRNA from 1 species
AAAUUGAAGAGUUUGAUCAUGGCUCAGAUUGAACGCUGGCGGCAGGCCUAACACAUGCAAGUCGAACGGUAGCACAGAGAGCUUGCUCUCGGGUGACGAGUGGCGGACGGGUGAGUAAUGUCUGGGAAACUGCCUGAUGGAGGGGGAUAACUACUGGAAACGGUAGCUAAUACCGCAUAACGUCGCAAGACCAAAGAGGGGGACCUUCGGGCCUCUUGCCAUCAGAUGUGCCCAGAUGGGAUUAGCUAGUAGGUGGGGUAACGGCUCACCUAGGCGACGAUCCCUAGCUGGUCUGAGAGGAUGACCAGCCACACUGGAACUGAGACACGGUCCAGACUCCUACGGGAGGCAGCAGUGGGGAAUAUUGCACAAUGGGCGCAAGCCUGAUGCAGCCAUGCCGCGUGUAUGAAGAAGGCCUUCGGGUUGUAAAGUACUUUCAGCGGGGAGGAAGGUGUUGUGGUUAAUAACCACAGCAAUUGACGUUACCCGCAGAAGAAGCACCGGCUAACUCCGUGCCAGCAGCCGCGGUAAUACGGAGGGUGCAAGCGUUAAUCGGAAUUACUGGGCGUAAAGCGCACGCAGGCGGUCUGUCAAGUCGGAUGUGAAAUCCCCGGGCUCAACCUGGGAACUGCAUUCGAAACUGGCAGGCUAGAGUCUUGUAGAGGGGGGUAGAAUUCCAGGUGUAGCGGUGAAAUGCGUAGAGAUCUGGAGGAAUACCGGUGGCGAAGGCGGCCCCCUGGACAAAGACUGACGCUCAGGUGCGAAAGCGUGGGGAGCAAACAGGAUUAGAUACCCUGGUAGUCCACGCCGUAAACGAUGUCGACUUGGAGGUUGUUCCCUUGAGGAGUGGCUUCCGGAGCUAACGCGUUAAGUCGACCGCCUGGGGAGUACGGCCGCAAGGUUAAAACUCAAAUGAAUUGACGGGGGCCCGCACAAGCGGUGGAGCAUGUGGUUUAAUUCGAUGCAACGCGAAGAACCUUACCUACUCUUGACAUCCAGAGAACUUUCCAGAGAUGGAUUGGUGCCUUCGGGAACUCUGAGACAGGUGCUGCAUGGCUGUCGUCAGCUCGUGUUGUGAAAUGUUGGGUUAAGUCCCGCAACGAGCGCAACCCUUAUCCUUUGUUGCCAGCGGUUAGGCCGGGAACUCAAAGGAGACUGCCAGUGAUAAACUGGAGGAAGGUGGGGAUGACGUCAAGUCAUCAUGGCCCUUACGAGUAGGGCUACACACGUGCUACAAUGGCGCAUACAAAGAGAAGCGACCUCGCGAGAGCAAGCGGACCUCAUAAAGUGCGUCGUAGUCCGGAUUGGAGUCUGCAACUCGACUCCAUGAAGUCGGAAUCGCUAGUAAUCGUAGAUCAGAAUGCUACGGUGAAUACGUUCCCGGGCCUUGUACACACCGCCCGUCACACCAUGGGAGUGGGUUGCAAAAGAAGUAGGUAGCUUAACCUUCGGGAGGGCGCUUACCACUUUGUGAUUCAUGACUGGGGUGAAGUCGUAACAAGGUAACCGUAGGGGAACCUGCGGUUGGAUCACCUCCUUACCUUAAAGAA